ACACAUGCAAGUCGAACGGCAGCAUAGAGAGCUUGCUCUCUGAUGGCGAGUGGCGAACGGGUGAGUAAUAUAUCGGAACGUGCCUAGUAAUGGGGAACAACUAAUCGAAAGAUUAGCUAAUACCGCAUACGACCUACGGGUGAAAGCAGGGGAUCUUCGGACCUUGCGUUAUUAGAGCGGCCGAUAUCUGAUUAGCUUGUUGGUAGGGUAAAAGCCUACCAAGGCAACGAUCAGUAGCUGGUCUGAGAGGACGAUCAGCCACACUGGAACUGAGACACGGUCCAGACUCCUACGGGAGGCAGCAGUGGGGAAUUUUGGACAAUGGGGGCAACCCUGAUCCAGCCAUUCCGCGUGAGUGAAGAAGGCCUUCGGGUUGUAAAGCUCUUUCGCAAGAGAAGAAAACUUACUAUCCAAUAAAUAGUAAGCAUGACGGUAUCUUGAUAAGAAGCACCGGCUAACUAUGUGCCAGCAGCCGCGGUAAUACAUAGGGUGCGAGCGUUAAUCGGAAUUACUGGGCGUAAAGCGUUCGCAGGCGGUUUUAUAAGUCAGAUGUGAAAUCCCCGAGCUCAACUUGGGAACUGCGUUUGAAACUGUAAGACUAGAGUGUGUCAGAGGGGGGUAGAAUUCCAUGUGUAGCAGUGAAAUGCGUAGAUAUGUGGAGGAAUACCAAUGGCGAAGGCAGCCCCCUGGGAUAACACUGACGCUCAUGAACGAAAGCGUGGGGAGCAAACAGGAUUAGAUACCCUGGUAGUCCACGCCCUAAACGAUGUCUACUAGUUGUUGGUGGAGUAAAAUCCAUGAGUAACGCAGCUAACGCGUGAAGUAGACCGCCUGGGGAGUAC
rnacentral:rRNA from 1 species